rnacentral:rRNA from 1 species
CCUACGGGUGGCUGCAGUAGGGAAUCUUUCACAAUGGACGAAAGCCUGAUGGAGCAACGCCGCGUGCAGGAUGAAGGCCUACGGGUUGUAAACUUCUUUUGUCAAAGAAUAACGUGAGUCACGUUUGCCUUUUUGUAUUUACUUUAUGUCUCAGGAUCGGCUAACUCCGUGCCAGCAGCCGCGGUAAUACGGAGGAUGCGAGCGUUAUCCGGAUUUAUUGGGUUUAAAGGGUGCGGAGAUGGGUUGUUAAGUCAGUUGUGAAAGUUUGCUGCUUAAACGUAAACUUGCAAUUGAUACUGGAAGUCGUGAGUGCAGUUGAGGUAGGUGGAAUUCGAGGUGUAGCGGUGAAAUGCGUAGAUAUCACGAAGAACGCCGAUUGCGAAGGCAGCUCACUAAACUGUAACUGACACUGAGGCUCGAAAGUGUGGGUAUCAAACAGGAUUAGAUACCCGUGUAGUC